rnacentral:rRNA from 1 species
UACAGAGGUCCCAAGCGUUGUUCGGAUUCACUGGGCGUAAAGGGUGCGUAGGCGGUCGGGUAAGUCUGAUGUGAAAUCUCACAGCUUAACUGUGAAACUGCAUUGGAUACUAUCCGGCUAGAGGAAUGGAGGGGAGACUGGAAUACUUGGUGUAGCAGUGAAAUGACGUAGAUAUCAAGUGGAACACCAGUGGCGAAGGCGAGUCUCUGGACAUUUCCUGACGCUGAGGCACGAAAGCCAGGGGAGCAAACGGG